AUUGAACGCUGGCGGCAGGCCUAACACAUGCAAGUCGAGCGAGUGGCGGACGGGUGAGUAAUGUCUGGGAAACUGCCCGAUGGAGGGGGAUAACUACUGGAAACGGUAGCUAAUACCGCAUACCAUCGGAUGUGCCCAUAUGGGAUUAGCUAGUAGGUGGGGUAACGGCGCACCUAGGCGACGAUCCCUAGCUGGUCUGAGAGGAUGACCAGCCACACUGGAACGGAGACACGGUCCAGACUCCUACGGGAGGCAGCAGUGGGUAAUAUUGCACAAUGGGCGCAAGCCUGAUGCAGCCAUGCCGCGUGUAUGAAGAAGGCCUUAGGGUUGUAAAGUACUUUCAGCGGGGAGGCGUUACUCGCAGAAGAAGCACCGGCUAACUCCGUGCCAGCAGCCGCGGUAAUUC
rnacentral:rRNA from 1 species